rnacentral:rRNA from 1 species
GGAAUAUUGGUCAAUGGACGAGAGUCUGAACCAGCCAAGUAGCGUGCAGGAUGACGGCCCUAUGGGUUGUAAACUGCUUUUAUCAGGGAAUAAAGUGCGGCACGCGUGCCGUUUUGUAUGUACCUGACGAAUAAGGACCGGCUAAUUCCGUGCCAGCAGCCGCGGUAAUACGGAAGGUCCGGGCGUUAUCCGGAUUUAUUGGGUUUAAAGGGAGCGCAGGCUGAUUAUUAAGCGUGACGUGAAAUGUAGCCGCUCAACGGCUGAACUGCGUCGCGAACUGGUAGUCUUGAGUGAGUUCGAUGUUGGCGGAAUUCGUGGUGUAGCGGUGAAAUGCUUAGAUAUCACGAAGAACUCCGAUUGCGAAGGCAGCCAACAAGGCCUUUACUGACGCUAAAGCUCGAAGGUGCGGGUAUCGAACA